GACGAACGCUGGCGGCGUGCUUACACAUGCAAGUCGAACGGCAGCACGGGUGCUUGCACCUGGUGGCGAGUGGCGAACGGGUGAGUAAUAUAUCGGAACGUACCUGAUUGUGGGGGAUAACGCAGCGAAAGCUGUGCUAAUACCGCAUAAUCCCUAAGGGGGAAAGCGGGGGAUCGCAAGACCUCGCGCGAUUAGAGCGGCCGAUGCCUGAUUAGCUUGUUGGUGGGGUAAAAGCCCACCAAGGCGACGAUCAGUAGCUGGUCUGAGAGGACGAUCAGCCACACUGGGACUGAGACACGGCCCAGACUCCUACGGGAGGCAGCAGUGGGGAAUUUUGGACAAUGGGGCAACCCUGAUCCAGCAAUGCCGCGUGAGUGAAGAAGGCCUUCGGGUUGUAAAGCUCUUUUGUCAGGGAAGAAACACCGGCUCUAACACAGUCUGGGAAUGACGGUACCUGAAGAAUAAGCACCGGCUAACUACGUGCCAGCCGCCGCAGUAA
rnacentral:rRNA from 1 species